AGGAACGCCCGCAGCCCGGGAUUCCUCCUAAGCCGCGUCCCAUCUGUGUGGGACCCCACUGAAAAUCGGACUGUUCAACUCACCUGGCAGCCACUCCCAGAGCUCCUGGAACUCUGGCCCUAGGCUCUCUGACUCCUUCUUGGCUUACCGGCUGAAGACUGACACUGCCCGAUCACCUCGGAAGCCCCCUAGACCAUCACGGAUGGCAAGCUUCGGGUAACUCUCACAGAGGAAGACACCAGUUGGAGACAAUUCAGCCUCAUCGUCCCUUGCCAAAGGAUGCAAUGAUU
rnacentral:lncRNA from 1 species